AUUGAACGCUGGCGGCAGGCUUAACACAUGCAAGUCGAGCGAGCGGCGGACGGGUGAGUAAUGUCUGGGAACCUGCCAGAUGGCGGGGGAUAACUACUGGAAACGGUAGCUAAUACCGCAUACCAUCAGAUGUGCCCAGGUGGGAGUAGCUAGUAGGUGGGGUAAUGGCUCACCUCGGCGACGAUCCCUAGCUGGUCUGAGAGGAUGACCGGCCACACUGGAACUGAGACACGGUCCAGACUCCGACGGGAGGCAGCAGUGGGGAAUAUUGCACAAUGGGCGAAAGCCUGAUGGAGCCAUGCCGCGUGUGUGAAGAAGGCCUUCGGUGUGUAAAGCACUGUCAGCGAGGAGGCGUUACUCGAAGAGGAAGCACCGGCUAACUCCGUGCCAGCAGCCGCGGUAAUAC
rnacentral:rRNA from 1 species